UGGGGAAUAUUGCACAAUGGGCGCAAGCCUGAUGCAGCCAUGCCGCGUGUGUGAAGAAGGCCUUCGGGUUGUAAAGCACUUUCAGCGGGGAGGAAGGCGAUAAGGUUAAUAACCUUAUCAAUUGACGUUACCCGCAGAAGAAGCACCGGCUAACUCCGUGCCAGCAGCCGCGGUAAUACGGAGGGUGCAAGCGUUAAUCGGAAUUACUGGGCGUAAAGCGCACGCAGGCGGUCUGUCAAGUCGGAUGUGAAAUCCCCGGGCUCAACCUGGGAACUGCAUUCGAAACUGGCAGGCUAGAGUCUUGUAGAGGGGGGUAGAAUUCCAGGUGUAGCGGUGAAAUGCGUAGAGAUCUGGAGGAAUACCGGUGGCGAAGGCGGCCCCCUGGACGAAGACUGACGCUCAGGUGCGAAAGCGUGGGGAGCAAACAGG
rnacentral:rRNA from 1 species